rnacentral:lncRNA from 1 species
AACAAUUUUGGUCUUGUUCGAUUCCCCUUUCAACCGCGUCUAUCCCUUGGUAUUCUGGACUGAAAAUUGCCGGAAAAUACACGAGAAAUCGGAAAUAUAGAUUCGGCCAAAUAUGGUUUAGGACUGGAGUUUAGGUGAUGUCCAUGGUUGGUUUAAGUUGAUUGAUUUUUGGUGAAGGGAGGUAGUUGGAGAUCUGUGGUGGUUCCGAAUUUUGUUCUAUGUGUGC